GACGAACGCUGGCGGCGUGCCUAAUACAUGCAAGUUGAGCGCUGAAGGUUGGUCCUUGUACCAACUGGCUGAGCAGCGAACGGGUGAGUAACGCGUGGGGAAUCUGCCUUUGAGCGGGGGACAACAUUUGGAAACGAAUGCUAAUACCGCAUAAAAACUUUAAACACAAGUUUUAAGUUUGAAAGAUGCAAUUGCAUCACUCAAAGAUGAUCCCGCGUUGUAUUAGCUAGUUGGUGAGGUAAAGGCUCACCAAGGCGAUGAUACAUAGCCGACCUGAGAGGGUGAUCGGCCACAUUGGGACUGAGACACGGCCCAAACUCCUACGGGAGGCGGCAGUAGGGAAUCUUCGGCAAUGGACGAAAGUCUGACCGAGCAACGCCGCGUGAGUGAAGAAGGUUUUCGGAUCGUAAAACUCUGUUGGUAGAGAAGAACGUUGGUGAGAGUGGAAAGCUCAUCAAGUGACGGUAACUACCCAGAAAGGGACGGCUAACUACGUG
rnacentral:rRNA from 1 species